UUUGAAAUCUGGCCUCUUUCGGGGUCCGAGUUGUAAUUUGCAGAGGCAGUUUCGGGUUCGGCCACGGUUUAAGUUCCUUGGAACAGGACGUCAUGGAGGGUGAGAAUCCCGUGUGAGACCGCCGGCUACGCCCAUGUGAAACGCCUUCGACGAGUCGAGUUGUUUGGGAAUGCAGCUCUAAAUGGGUGGUAAAUUUCAUCUAAAGCUAAAUACCGGCCAGAGACCGAUAGCGCACAAGUAGAGUGAUCGAAAGAUGAAAAGCACUUUGGAAAGAGAGUUAAAAAGCAUGUGAAAUUGUUGAAAGGGAAGCGCAGGCACCCAGACUUGGUCCCGAGCGUUCACCCGGCGUUCCUCGCCGGGGCACUCGCUCGGGUUCAGGCCAGCAUCGGUUCGGGCGGCUGGAGAAAGGCCCGGGGAAUGUAGCUCCUCCUCGGGGGAGUGUUAUAGCCCAGGGCGUCAUACAGCCCGCCUGGACCGAGGAACGCGCUUCGGCACGGAUGCUGGCGUAAUGGUUGUCUGCGGCCCGUCUUGAAACACGGACCAAGGAGUCUAACAUCUAUGCGAGUGUUUGGGUGUCAAGCCCACACGCGGAAUGAAAGUGAACGGAGGUGGGAGCUUUCGGGCGCACCAUCGACCGAUCCUGAUGUCUUCGGAUGGAUUUGAGUAAGAGCAUAGCUGUUGGGACCCGAAAGAUGGUGAACUAUGCCUGGAUAGGGUGAAGCCAGAGGAAACUCUGGUGGAGGCUCGCAGCGGUUCUGACGUGCAAAUCGAUCGUCAAAUCUGGGUAUA
rnacentral:rRNA from 1 species